CCGAAAGCCGCUGCCAUUGGCCCAACGGCUUCCCCGUCCCGCCCUCCUCCUCUUCCUUUCCUACCUCUGGAGAAACUUCCUUCUUUUUCCCCACCCCUAAAUUGUUCCCCCUUUGAAGCUCUUUUACUUCUAUUUUACUGCAUUUUUUGUCCACCAGCCCUGUUCUGAAAUUCUAUUGCCCAGUUCCUUUCCCCCUGACUUUUAGUACCCAUUACUGCUCAGACUACUGGCUGUUGAUGAUGCAGUUUUUAUGUUAUUGUCUUCUUGCAAUGUCAUUGAUUUUUUUGAGAUAUAUUUUGAUCUACAGUAUGUUUGGUUUUAAUCUUUGUUGGAUCUUAUCCAUUACUGCUCAGACUACUGGCUGUUGAUGAUGCAGUUUUUAUGUUAUUGUCUUCUUGCAAUGUCAUUGAUUUUUUUGAGAUAUGUUUUGAUCUACAGUAUGUUUGGUUUUAAACUUUGUUGGAUCUUAUCCAUUACUGCUCAGACUACUGGCUGUUGAUGAUGCUGUUUUUAUGUAUUGUCUUCUUGCAUUGUCAUUGAUUUUAUUGAGAUAUGUUUUGAUCUACAGUAUGUUUGGUUUUAAUCUUUGUUGGAUCUUAUCCAUUACUGCUCAGACUACUGGCUGUUGAUGAUGCUGUUUUUAUGAAUGGUCUUCUUGCAUUGUCAUUGAUUUUAUUGAGAUACGUAUGUUUUGAUCUACAGUAUGUUUAGUUUUAAUCUUUGUUGGAGCUUAUCCAUUACUGCUCAGACUACUGGCUGUUGAUGAUGCUGUUUUUAUGUUACAGUAGUCUCACUUAUCCAACGUUCUGGAUUAUCCAACGCAUUUUUGUAGUCAAUGUUUUCAAUGCAUUGUGAUAUUAUGGUGCUAAAUUCGUAAAUACAGUAAUUACUACAUAGCAUUACUGCGUAUAGAACUACUUUUUCUGCCAAAUUUGUUGUCUAACAUGAUGUUUUGGUGCUUCAUUUGUAAAAUCAUAACCUAAUUUGAUGUUUAAUAGGCUUUUCCUUAAUGCCUCCUUAUUAUCCAACAUAUUCGCUUAUCCAACAUUCUGCCGGGCCGUUUAUGUUGGAUAAGUGAGACUCUACUGUAUGUUUUGAUCUACGGUAUGUUUGGUUUUAAUCUUUGUUGGAGCUUAUCCAUUACUGCUCAGACUACUGGCUGUUGAUGAUGCUGUUUUUAUGUUACAGUAGUCUCACUUAUCCAACGUUCUGGAUUAUCCAACGCAUUUUUGUAGUCAAUGUUUUCAAUGCAUUGUGAUAUUAUGGUACUAAAUUCGUAAAUACAGUAAUUGCUACAUAGCAUUACUGCGUAUAGAACUACUUUUUCUGCCAAAUUUGUUGUCUAACAUGAUGUUUUGGUGCUUCAUUUGUAAAAUCAUAACCUGUUUUGAUGUUUAAUAGGCUUUUUCUUAAUCUCUCCUUAUUAUUCAACAUAUUUACUUAUUCAACAUUCUGCCGGCUCGUUUAUGUUGGACAAGUGAGACUCUGUAUUGUCUUCUUAAAUUCCAUCCACAGAAUUGCCUCCCAACUUGCAGUUAUACUGGGCAUGUGCUACGGAAUGCAACCCUGCUGACCUUUUGUACCAGGCAGUUUAUAAGUUUGAAACAUAAAGUUUAUUUGUCUCUUGCUCUUCAGGAAGCAGGCAACUGAGGCCAAAUACAAUAAGCAAUUUUAGUAAUGGUGUUGAGACUGACCCCACUACUGUGGAAACCAGAAGAGCUGAAUGCUAAGGACUACACCUGCCAUGCCAGUCCAAAUUAUAACUUGGGUGAUUCAACCAAGAUUGUGAAGAUAUUGUAGCAAGCAAUGGACUCUUUUGACAGUGCUACUACUGAACAUACUAGAAAAAAGAGGAAUGACAUUGAGGUUCCUGUGGAUCAUGUUUACUUUCCAUGAUUUAUGGUGUGGGGAGCCUAUAGUGGAAGGAAUGGUAUAUAGACUGAAAACUACAGUAACAGGACAUCCAGCAGAUGGGAGAAAUUCUUUGCCAUGAAGAAUCCCUUAAAGUGCUGUAAAAGAUGUAUUGAAGAGGUGGAGGGAAUCAAAAUUUUGCAUGCCAAAAGGAAGUUUUUCUAUGCCUAGUUUUUAAAGUAAAUAAAAGUGCUAGCUUACCUGCUUACAGCUGGAGACAUGUGUUUAAUCCCUUAUACAAUAUUAGCUGUGCCCAGCUGUGGCUUAUUGGGAUCCUUUGUUGACUAAGUGGAAUAGUAGUGAAUAGCCUUGCAGCCUCAAAGCCUGGCUGUUUUCUUCUUAUGGGAAUCCUUGUUUGGUGAGCUGGAAUACAAUGGAAUAGGUGUGCUGCUUGAAGGGCUGGGUAGCUGCGUUCUAGGGGAAUGGUUUUUUGGGCUGCUAGAACUGCAAUGAAUGGCUUCACUACUUCAAACCUGGCUGCUUGCUACCUAGGAGAAUCUUUGGUUGGUCAGCUUCAAUAGUACAGAGUAGUAUCGCUGCUUCAAAGCCUGGCCAUCUUCUACCAAGGUUAAUCCUUUGUUGGUCUGGUUGAAUUGCACUGAAUAGCCUUGCAACUUCAAUGCCUGGCUGUGUUAUACCUAGGGGAAUCCUUGUUUGGCGAGCUGAAGUAGCACUCUCAAUCAAAGAGCUGCUUUGAAGCUUGGCUACUUCCUUUGUAGGGGAGCUUGAAUUGCACUGAAUAGUCUUGCAGCUUAAAAGCCUGGCCGCUUUCUACAUAGGGCAUCCUUGCUAGGCCAGAUUGAAUGGGACGGAGUAGCCUCGUGGCUUCAAAGCCUGGGGUUUUCUAUCUAGGGGAAAUUUUGGUUGUCCAGGUUGAAUAGCAGUGACUAGUCUUGCUGCUUGCAUGCCUGGCCGUUUUCUACCUUGUGAAAUCCUUCGUUGGCCAGGUUGCAUAACAAUGAAUAGUCUCGGUGCAGUAAGUAUGAAUGCUCCAAUUAGUCACCCUUGAUUAGCAUUUAAUGGCCUUACAGCUUCAAAGCCUGGCUGCUUCCUCCUGGGGGAAUUCUUUGUUGAAAGGUGUUAGCUGGCUCUGGUUGUUUCCUUUCUGGAAUGUCCCAGUUUUCAUAGUGUUGCUCUUUAUUUACUGUUUAUUUAAUUGAUUUUUUUAAAUUGGUGCAGUCUGAUGAUGUGGGAGAGGUUCUCCAGUACCUCUCAGCAGCUUUCGAUACCAUCAGCCAUGGCAUCCUCCUAGACCGCCACUCAGCAGUGGGAUUAGGGAGUAUUAUUUUGCAGUAGCUCCACUCAUUCCUGGAGGGUCGGGUUAAGAAGGUGGUGCUGGGGGACUCCUGCAUGAGCCCAUGGCCUUCAUCCUGCGCUUUUGAAAUACAUCAGAAUGGCCCCCUCCCUACUAACUUUCAAGCAUCAGAUAAAAACUUUUAUCUGGAAUCAGGUCUUUAAUGAAGAUUAAUACAAGAGCAAUAGGCACCAUAGUAACAUCUGGACAAGUGGCAAUGGGAAGGAUAAUGGCUUUGAUUUAUGUUUAUUUAGUUUUUAUCUAUUUAUCUAUUUAUUUGUUUUAUUUAGUUUUUAUCUAUACCUAAAGUGCUGGUUGUAUUUGAAUUUGUAAUGCCUUUUAUUACGGUUUAAUUAUCUUAUUACAGUAGAGUCUCACUUAUCCAACACUCGCUUAUCCAACGUUCUGGAUUAUCCAACAUAUUUUUGUAGUCAAUGUUUUCAAUACAUCAUGAUAUUUUGGUGCUAAAUUCGUAAAUACAGUAAUUACUACAUAGCAUUACUGCAUAUUGAACUACUUUUUCUGUCAAAUUUGUUGUCUAACAUGAUGUUUUGGUGCUUAAUUUGUAAAAUCAUAACCUAACUUGAUGUUUAAUAGGCUUUUCCUUAAUUUCUCCUUAUUAUCCAACAUAUUCGCUUAUCCAACGUUCUGCCGGCCCGUUUACGUUGGAUAAGCGAGACUCUACUGUAUGUUUUAAUUGUUAUUAUUGACUAUGUCUAUCUCCUUUUUGUCGUAAUGUAUCUAUAUGUUUUAUACCUUGUUGUUAGCCACUUUGAAUCCCUGAUGGGAGAGAAAAGAGGGAUACACAUGAAUAAAUAAUAAAUAAUAGUAAUCAUCAUCAUCUCAUAUGAAAACUUCACAGUACAAAAAUCUGGUCAACAGUUUGUCAGCAUUUAGUUAAGGAAUAAAUGAUAGUGGAUCACAGGAAGUUCUUAACAUUGAAAUAUUUUAUAUCAGCCAUAUUAGUCACACUCAAUACAAGUAAAUGUUUAUCCAGAUUUCUUUUUUUUAAUUUUUAAUGAAAACAUUUAACAAAAGUGUGAAACAUAUAUACAACUACUUAUGGGGGAGUGACAAGUGUCCAAGGGGGGGGGACACAAAACAAACAAACAAAAAAUAAUAAUUUAAAAAAAGAAGAGAGAGAACACACCAAAAAUUACACAUACAUACUCAAUAUAAUUACAUAAAAUUAAUUUACUUCUUUUGUGUGAUGCUUUGUGUAUUAUCCUUUUAGUGCACUUAUAUCUCUUGUCUUGUUUAUCUUUUAAUAUUAUUUCUUCUCCAUUUUAUUACUUGAUCUGAGACAAUCCAUAGGUCAUUAUACUAUCAUUUUGCAAUUUUCAUUUUUUAAGUAGUUUUUAAUUAAUUCCCAAUCUGUUUGUUUCCUUGGCUUGCCUUGGGUGUUUGAUAAUAAAUAUGUUAAUUUA